rnacentral:rRNA from 1 species
UGAGGAAUAUUGGUCAAUGGGGGCAACCCUGAACCAGCCAAGUCGCGUGAAGGAUGAAGGUCUUAUGGAUUGUAAACUUCUUUUAUACAGGAAUAAAUUGGGGGACGUGUCCCCUUUUGCAUGUACUGUAUGAAUAAGGAUCGGCUAACUCCGUGCCAGCAGCCGCGGUAAUACGGAGGAUCCGAGCGUUAUCCGGAUUUAUUGGGUUUAAAGGGUGCGCAGGCGGGAUGUUAAGUAGGCGGUGAAAUUUUGCAGCUCAACUGUAAAAGUGCCUUCGAUACUGGCUUCCUUGAGUGUAGAUGAAGUAGGCGGAAUUUGUGGUGUAGCGGUGAAAUGCUUAGAUAUCACGAGGAACUCCGAUUGCGCAGGCAGCUUACUAAACUACAACUGACGCUCAUGCACGAAGGCGUGGGGAUCAAACA